GGACAACGACGGGGAAGGAUGGAGAAAAAUGCCCAAAAUCCCCACUCAUGCACUACUGCUCUAUAGUCAGGAUGAAGCGCCUGGUACAUGGAGUGGAUGCUAAACUAGUUCCCCUGAGGUUGUGUAAAACCUGGAACCUGCAUGAAAUGCAGAUCAACAUUAGAACCCUUUAAAUCCUCAUCAAUAGGAAAGAAGGAAGAUAAAGUCUAACGUCAUACCUCGUUAGCAUGCAAGUACAUCGAUGGGUGUCUACCCAAAUCACCCAGCAACUCUGGGUUCACCACCUGGAUGCUCGGAAGCUCCCUACGAGGGAUAUGUGUAGCAAGAGCGGGAUCCUCAAUAUCCACCUCCUCAUCCUCGACGUCUGGAACAUCUACCUGGACAGGACGAAUCACAGCCUCCACCAACCGACGAGGCUGUCUGACAGAACGGGGAUGAGGCACUUCAGAAGCCCUCCGGCGUACGCUAGAAGCGAUCCUAUAGGAACUGCUCGGCUGAUCCGGAUCCAUAAUAUCUGGACAACAAGUCUCCAAAUCACCUCAGAAAGGGUGUGGUAUUUCCUUACCUAGAGCUUUCUAAAAUGCAUUAUAUGACUAUAUGCAUGCAUACAUUUACUUUAACAUAUAAUAGAGUUAGAAUGCAUGAAUACCUAAUGCCUACAUUUGGAAAAAUUUUGCCAUAGUCCCC
rnacentral:lncRNA from 1 species